GGGGUCCCACAACCUUCACAGGACGUUGUGAAGGUCAUGGUGGGUCUGGGGUCUCCGGUCCAUGGGGAGAACAUGGUUGGGGUCCCACAUGUUCCAAAGGAGGAGGUUGUGGUGGGGAUGGGGUCUUCAGGCCAUGGGGAGAACCUGGUUGAGAUGGGGAUGGGGGCUUCAAACCAUGGGGAGAACCUGGCUGGGGUCCCACAGGUUCCAAAGGAGGAGGUGGUGGUUGUGGGUCUGGGGUCUUCAGGCCAUGGGGAGAAUGUGGUAGGGGUUGGGUUGGGGUCUUCAAACCAUGGGGAGAAUGUGGUUGGGGUCCCACAUGUUCCAAAGGAGGAGGUUGUGGUUGUGGGUCUGGGGUCUUCAGGCCAUGGGGAGAACCUGGCUGGGGUUGGGUUGGGGGCUUCAGGCCAUGGGGGCAACGUGGUAGGGGUCCCACAGCCUUCACAGGACAUUGUGAAGGUCAUGGUGGGGAUGGGGGCUUCAGGCCAUGGGGAGAAUGUGGUAGGGGUCCCACAGGUUCCAAAGGAGGAGGUGGUGGUGGGGAUGGGGAGUUCUAAGGAGGUUGUGGUUGUGGGUCUGGGGUCUUCAGGCCAUGGGGAGAACCUGGCUGGGGUCCCACAGGUUCCAAAGGAGGAGGUUGUGGUGGGUCUGGGGUCUCCGGUCCAUGGGGAGAACAUGGUAGGGGUCCCACAUGUUCCAAAGGAGGAGGUUGUGGUUGUGGGUCUGGGGUCUCCGGUCCAUGGGGAGAACGUGGUUGGGGUCCCAGAGACCCCCAAGGAGACCCCAAUUGUGGGUCUGGGGUCUUCAGCCCCAGAGGAGACCCCAGCCCAGAAUUUGGACCCCCAGACCCCUCAGGAGACCCCCAGGGACCCCCAAAUCCAUGGAGGGACCCCCGAGAUGGUCCCAGACCCCCCGAAAAAACCCCAAAAUUUUGGGGUGGUCCCAGAGCCCCCCAAAGACCCCCAGGACCCCCCAAAGUGACCCCAAAUUUGGGACUGAGACCCCCCAAAAUUACCCCAAAUUUGGGACUGAGACCCCCCAAAAUGACCCCAAAAUUUGGGAUUGGGACCCCUGAAAAUGACCCCAAAAUUUGGAUUUAGGACC
rnacentral:lncRNA from 1 species